rnacentral:rRNA from 1 species
ACCCGCUGAACUUAAGCAUAUCAAUAAGCGGAGGAAAAGAAACCAACAGGGAUUGCCCUAGUAACGGCGAGUGAAGCGGCAACAGCUCAAAUUUGAAAUCUGGCGUCUUCGGCGUCCGAGUUGUAAUUUGUAGAGGAUGCUUCUGGGUAGCCACUGGUCUAAGUUCCUUGGAACAGGACGUCAUAGAGGGUGAGAAUCCCGUAUGCGGCCGGCCGGCACCCUCCACGUAGCUCCUUCGACGAGUCGAGUUGUUUGGGAAUGCAGCUCUAAAUGGGUGGUAAAUUUCAUCUAAAGCUAAAUACUGGCCAGAGACCGAUAGCGCACAAGUAGAGUGAUCGAAAGAUGAAAAGCACUUUGGAAAGAGAGUUAAAAAGCACGUGAAAUUGUUAAAAGGGAGGCGCUUGCAACCAGACUUGCCUGCGGUGUUCGGCCGGUCUUCUGACCGGUUUACUCGCCGUAUGCAGGCCAGCAUCAUUUGGGGCCGCCGGAUAAAACUCCAGGAAUGUAGCUCCCUCGGGAGUGUUAUAGCCUGGGGCAAUGCGGCGAGCCCCGAGUGAGGUCCGCGCUUCGGCUAGGAUGCUGGCGUAAUGGUUGU